UGCCUAACCUGCAAGUCGAACGAACCCUUCGGGGUUAGUGGCGCACGGGUGCGUAACGCGUGGGAACCUGCCUUUAGGUUCGGAAUAACUCAGAGAAAUUUGAGCUAAUACCGGAUAAUGUCUUCGGACCAAAGAUUUAUCGCCUUUAGAUGGGCCCGCGUUAGAUUAGAUAGUUGGUGGGGUAAUGGCCUACCAAGUCGACGAUCUAUAGCUGGUCUGAGAGGAUGAUCAGCCACACUGGGACUGAGACACGGCCCAGACUCCUACGGGAGGCAGCAGUGGGGAAUAUUGGACAAUGGGCGAAAGCCUGAUCCAGCAAUGCCGCGUGAG
rnacentral:rRNA from 1 species